rnacentral:rRNA from 1 species
AACGAACGCUGGCGGCAGGCCUAAUACAUGCAAGUCGAACGCUCGUAGCAAUACGAGAGUGGCAGACGGGUGAGUAACACGUGGGAACCUUCCCUAUGGUUCGGAAUAGCUCAGGGAAACUUGAGGUAAUACCGGAUAAGCCCUUACGGGGAAAGAUUUAUCGCCAUUGGAUGGGCCCGCGUCGGAUUAGCUAGUUGGUGGGGUAACGGCCUACCAAGGCGACGAUCCGUAGCUGGUCUGAGAGGANGAUCAGCCACACUGGACUGAGACACGGCCCAGACUCCUACGGGAGGCAGCAGUAGGGAAUAUUGCGCAAUGGGCGAAAGCCUGACGCAGCGACGCCGCGUGAGGGAUGACGGCC